UGCAUGUUAGUUAGUCAUAAGUUAUUUGGUUGCUAGAAUAGUGGGCUUAUGGUUAUUAGGCUUGGAGAGAGUUAAAUGAAGGGUAUUGUGGUAAUUGGAUGAUACCUUAAUAGAAGGGUUUUAAUUUGUCUUAAAGAAGAGAAAAGAGAGGAAGAAAGAGAGGAGAGAAAAGAAAGAAAAAGAGAAAGAAUGAGAGUAGAGAAGCAAAUCCCGUUUUCCAUGCAUCAGCUCCACUAAAACUUCGAUUGCAGAUUCGUUAACCGUUGGAUCUCAACAAGAUUUUGAGGGUAGGUUCGCAAGAUACAAACGCAACUUUUGACCGUUGGGAUCGUCAAAAUAAGGUCUGAGGUGGGAGAAAUCAUGCUCGCAAUUUACAGUUCGAAAUUGGGGAAAAAAUGAAGAAAAAGAAGAGAAAUGCAAAAGCAAAGAGUAAAUUGGAGCUUGAGGAUUCAAGAGGAGUGGAGGACUAGAGUUUCCAACAUUAAUACAAGGUAAGAGAGUUAAUUAUAUAAUCUAGAGUGAAAAUAGAGAGGGGAAAUUGUCUAUAUCUCCAAUCCCAAACUCUCUGCACUCUUUUCUAUUUGGGGUUUUGGGGAGAAUUCAUGGGAAUGUGUUUAUCUACAUGAUUAUAUGUUGGUGUAUGGAUUUGGAUGUUUAUUCAUAUUUGAUAAAUGAAUUACUAUGAUAAAAAUUGGUAUUUUUGUGUUGUUAUUAUCAUUUGAGUAUUUUACCAAAUUGAUGAAUAUGAUGAAAUCCAUACUUGUUAAUAAUAUUGUUUGUUUAUGUGAGUUUUGUGUGAAAAUGGAGUUAUAUGAUUGUUAUGAACUUUGAUGAAUGAAUGUAGU
rnacentral:lncRNA from 1 species